UCCGAAUUGGUGUAGUGGUAACAUCCAUGACUCUCAUCACGCUGUUAUGCGAGGCCUCAUGUGCCACGGGUUCAAUUCCCGUAUUCGGAA
rnacentral:tRNA from 1 species